rnacentral:rRNA from 1 species
GCAACUCGACUGCACGAAGCUGGAAUCGCUAAUAAUCGCGGAUCAGCACGCCGCGGUGAAUACGUUCCCGGGCCUUGUACACACCGCCCGUCACACCAUGGAAGUCUGCAAUGCCCGAAGCCGGUGGCCUACCACUUAUGUGGAAGGAGCCGUCUAAGGCAGGGCAGAUGACUGGGGUGAAGUCGUAACAAGGUAUC